AUGCAUUCGGAGGAAUUUGGGUGCUACUCGGCAAGGACUGCCUACCGUGCUUUCUUCUUUGGCUUAACUGAGAUGCCUGUAGCAAAUGAAGUUUGGAACUCUUGGGCGCAGCCACAAUUGAAGUUCUUCGCGUGGUUGGUCGUCAAGAAUAGGGGCUGGACCUCUGAUCGCCUUGCCGCAAGGGGCCUACCACACCAGCCGAGCUGCCCGAUGUGUCUCCAAGAGCCUGAAACUCUUGAUCAUUUGCUUGUGGAAUGCUCUUUGGCGCGCACGGUGUGGUUGGAGGUGUUGAGGGUUAAGGGCUGGGAAAGCUUCACCCCAUCCCAACAGGGCGUGGUGGUGGACUGGUGGACAACGACUAGUAACACCACCGCGGCGGCAAGGAAGGAGCUGAACUCUUACAUCCUCCUAGUGCUAAACUCCAUCUGGAAGGAAAGGGGCUGGAGUGUUUUUGACAAAAUCUCCUUGACCACUAGUGGAUAA
rnacentral:rRNA from 1 species